GCACCUAUAGUAAAAUUAUUACAGUAGCUUUUCAAGCUAGAGUUCUAAGUUAGAUUCUUAGUAGGAGUU
rnacentral:tRNA from 1 species